UCUAUAGCAACAAUAGGCAUAAGUCAACUCGAAUCUGAGAGUGAAUUUAUCGGACACUUGCUUCUGUUAAGUGGAUCCAGUGCUUUCUGGAAUAUUAUGUUCAGCACUUAUCGAGGAUAGCCUCGGACCAUUAUCGACGGACGGUCUGGACCGACCCAGGGUCCCAUUCCGAUUUGAGAAAUUUUGAAUCUUUUAUUCGAGAUUGUGAGACCUGAUCCGGAAGGUGUGGAGGAUGCUGAUCCGUAGGGAUGCAAGGUACAAAAUGACCUGUAGGCUAGAGCUGGCCAGAUGCAGACUCCUUAGAUGGAACCGCUUGGAGAUGGGUGAUUUAGUUUGAU
rnacentral:lncRNA from 1 species